AUUGAACGCUGGCGGCAUGCCUUACACAUGCAAGUCGAACGGCAGCACGGGAGCAAUCCUGGUGGCGAGUGGCGAACGGGUGAGUAAUGUAUCGGAACGUACCUUUCAGUGGGGGAUAACGUAGCGAAAGUUACGCUAAUACCGCAUAUUCUGUGAGCAGGAAAGCAGGGGAUCUUCGGACCUUGCGCUGAUUGAGCGGCCGAUAUCAGAUUAGCUAGUUGGUGAGGUAAAGGCUCACCAAGGCGACGAUCUGUAGCGGGUCUGAGAGGAUGAUCCGCCACACUGGAACUGAGACACGGUCCAGACUCCUACGGGAGGCAGCAGUGGGGAAUUUUGGACAAUGGGCGCAAGCCUGAUCCAGCCAUGCCGCGUGAGUGAAGAAGGCCUUCGGGUUGUAAAGCUCUUUCGGCCGGGAAGAAAUCGCAUAGGUUAAUACCCUGUGUGGAUGACGGUACCGGAAUAAGAAGCACCGGCUAACUACGUGCCAGCAGCCGCAGUAAGAC
rnacentral:rRNA from 1 species